rnacentral:lncRNA from 1 species
UGAUACUCUCGUGGGUGUGUUACUAAUUUACCAACCUGAUUUGAAUAACGUAAUAGAGGUAACUUGCUAUCUCACUACCAAUCCAAAAAAUAUAUAUAUAAAGUUCGCAAUCAACCGACAACUGGUAAUUUCAGGUGGCAUAAUUUCUUUGAAAUUAAUAAUAAUCCAGCAGCAUAAUGGUAAAACCAACUCCCAGCUAGGCUGGGUUCCAAAAAGAAAUGGUAAAACCAAAUCAGUAUGAAGUUCAUUUGUCUAAUGCCGAAAGGAACAAUGUUGUUCUAUGAAUCUGCAAGGUGGGAAUCUUAUUUCUAGUUUCUUGCAAACCAAACAUGGAAAGAAACUAUAGUUCAGGGUGAACCGAAAAGGUUUCGCCCUAGAAGGCUCAAAAAGUAUGAGCGUUGCUUUGCAUUAUGUAUUCGGUUAGGCCAACAAGCCAACCAAAACGCUUCGUAAUAGUUGUUUUAGCCAAGUCGCCAUCAAGACGAGCACAGCACUGACUUAAUCUAGAUUUCACCAUCCCAGAGUUCCUCAACAGUUCUAUAGGACCCAAAAGUGUCAUGUACAAAAAAGUCACCUUUGACUAGCCUUUCCUGCAAAUUUGGAAAACAAUGUAGUAUCAGUGACCAUCAUCACCAUCUUGAUCAAAUUACNNNNNNNNNNNNNNNNNNNNNNNACAGAUGACCAUCUUAAAUUUUAGUAAAUACAAACGGUAGAGGGCUAAAGUGCGUUGAUUAAACUAGCAUGAAAAUCAUAACGAACGCUAGUUUCGAGGUAAUCCACAACUCCUCGCGCUUCACCACACCAUCUUCAAAUAGCUUCUUCAAAACUAAACCGAUCUACAAUAAACAUAAAUUAUUUGUCACACAUACAUCCUUGUAAGAACCUAAACAUCUGCAAAUAUUAAGCCAAACAUAAACUUUUUCACAUUUAACCCAAAAUGAUAUGAACUAGUUGCAGCAACUUAAGAAUUGAACAACUACAUGACAACUACAGAGAAUCUUUGGAACCAUAACUGAGAAAAAAACAAAAAAAAACUGAAUUACCUCUUUCUCAUUGCCAUAGACUGGAGCACAAUCAAUAUGCCGAUAUCCUGCCUGCAAUGAGUAGAAUCACAGAUUAGACUAAAUUUUAAUCUCAAUCAGGUACAAACUAUUCUAAGACUAUUUUCAUCAAUUUUAAAGAGGAUCGAGUAAAAAGGGGAAGAGGAAAACUUUGAUGGCGGCGGCGACGGCGUCACCAACCAAGCCAGGGCUGGCCUGCCAGGUCCCCAAGCCCAAAGAAGGAAUCUUGGCUCCGGUGUUCAACUCAAAGAAACGAAUUUCGUCCGCCAUUGUCGGUUGUCACAGAAAGAGUGAAGGAGCUGGAGAGAGCAUAAAGUCCUUGUUUAGAACUUCGAAAGUUAGAAGACGACAGAAAGCAGUAUGUCAUCGUUGACGACCGUUUGAUAGCGAAUGGGUUUAUAGUUUUCUGUUUUUUUGUUUGUUUUUAUUAAUCUGUUUUUAUUGAAUCGCAUGACUUUAAUGAUUAUGCUCUAACAAAUAGAUAUUUUAUUCACACGUCUCUAAUUGUUAGAUACAUAUUUUUUUUCAUACAAAUUAUAUAAGACUUUGUGAAUACGUAAAAUUACUAAAUGAGACAUUGUUAUAAAAAUAAAGAAAUCUAGUUGAGAUGUUUCAAUAUCAAAAUUUUAAUUUUGAGCUUAAACGGAGUACUAAUAUUUUUGACAUAUAUGAAUAUUAGCAAUAAUUUUUAAUAAUCGAUCAGUUUAGUAUUACGCUUACGCAGGACUAAGCAUUCUCAUACUGAAAGUUUUGUUAAGGACUUUGAUGAUGUCUUGUUUUAUUUUUACUCAGUGGGUGUACAUAUUUUUGAAAUUGAUAUGAGUAAAAAACUCUUUGAGAAGAAAUUUUGUCAAGAAAAACUCAUAAAAGAAAAGAAAAAAUUCUUAUUAGCCCUAAUUUAAAAAGAAAUAUUUUCCACUAACAAAAUAAGAUUUCAUAAUUCCCAUCAACCGUAUACACUUUUAAGUGUUAUUCCCACUAACAAAAUUGUCAGGAUUUUCCUUAUUUUUGUUUGUCUAGAAUACCUCUCUCUCUCCACAACACGACGCCGGGAGUACAAAACAUGAAUGCGAUCGCUAGAUCAACGUCACCGCUCGAUUAACGCCGCCGCCGUCUUCAUCCUUGAGAUCAUCCGAGUUGGAUCGCUCAACUAGAUGAAAGCCUCGGGUCCACCAAUUGGUGUCCUCCGCCGCAACCUCAGCCGACUUCACUUACCUGCGUCGGCGUCACCAGUUGGUGUCCUCCACCGCGACCUCGACUUGUUUGGCCGCCACCUCCCUUGUAAUCACCAACUGCACCAGAUCUGGUUUCGUCCACAAGAAGGGAUGCUAGGCAACUAAAAGCCUCUGGUCGCCGCAGACGAUAUCAGCGUCGACAACGCUUUCUACCAGUGGUGGUCCAUCACCGGAAUCAGGUCCAGCAGCGAGAAUCUGGUGUUUGAGGUCGACAUGGUGACAACGAAGUAUCCGUCUAAGAACUUCAUUGACAGUCCGGCCUGCGAGGGCCGCCGCCACUCCGCUUCUUAGCAGGUUUCGAUUUGAUGUUUGUAGCAUUGAUUCGGCUGGUUAGGGGUUUUGAAUUAGUGUUUCUGAUUCGGCUAGAUCGUAUGUCUUUGAUUGAUUUUUUUUUUUUGAACAUGGAUGUCUUUGAUUGAUUUAGAAAUGGGAUUUUUAGUUUCUAGUACUGUGGUUAUAGCCAAUUCGCAUACUAAGGAUUUAGAUGUGUUUUUAUGAUUUCAGAUAGAUUUGGUGAAACUGUUGCACGAAUCAAAGUACUAGAAUAGAUUUGUGUUAAUUAUACAUACGGGAUUCUCAAUUAUGCACCUACCAAUUUUAUCUUUCAUAAGUGCACAUACUGGAAAUUGUCAAAGGAGAAAUAGAUGGAAAUCUAUAGGCAUCUUAAGAGCAUCUCCCAUCUUUCAAGUAUACUGCCCCAGUAGGAGGUCCUACUGCCCCUAGUAGAUGAUCAUACUGACCCCAGUAGGAGCCAGUAGGAGGUCUUACUGACCCCAGUAGGUGGUCAUACUGACCCCAGUAGGAGGUCUUACUAACCCCAAUAGGUGAUCAUACUGCCCUCAAUAGGGACCUAUUGUAAGUGACCGAAACACACAAUUAAGUUCAAGGGUCAUACUUCUCCCAAUAGGAGGUCAUACUGUCCUCAAUAGACCCCCCGACGAACCCCUUUCUGCCCCCAAUAGACCCCUGACGAAACCCCAGUCGUCGGAAUCCGGUCAACGGUCGCUGGAGUCUUGUCAACGUCGUUGGAUCCUGGUCAACGGCCGCCGGAGUCACGGUCAACGGUAAUCGGUUGCGGGAUUCGGUCAUAGAUAUUUAUUUCAAAAUAAACCUUCUAUUGUUUUUACAAUAGUCUAUUGUAGUUUAUUUAAAUCAUUAAAGGUAUAAUUGUCUUUUUCCUGUUUAAGUUGGCUCUUGGAAAUUUUAAAAUCUGAUUUUGUUUGUGGGAAUAAAAUUCUUAAAAUUAAGGCUAAUAGGCAUUGUCCUUAAAAGAAAAACUAGUCAAGGAAGAUCUUAACAAAGUGAAAUAGUUCGAGGAAAGAUGAAACCGUUUGACAAAAAUCUCAUUAAUAUGAAAUUCUUCUAGUCAUAUGAGUGAAUGUUAUAGCUUCAAUUGAGAAACAAUUUUAUUUUAUUUUUUUUGAAAAAGAUUGAGUAGUAGAUUUAAAUUAGGGAUGUGUAUUUAGAGAGUAGGUUGCAUUGUGUAUUGUCACUAAGUGUAUUUUAAGAAGUUUAAUGAUGUGUAUCUAGUAAAAUGUUAAAAUAAUAAAUAUAACUGGUGGUGUAUUAAGUAUGAUAUGUGUAUCUAGUAUCUAAGCACGUGCUAAUAAAAUUUUUCUUUAACAAAACCUGUUGAAUCGCCAACUCUAAAGAUUACGCUUUAACAAAACCCACUACUUAACGGUUAAGUAUUGAUAUUGUGAUGACUAGAGAUCGCAUUGUAAGUAUUAAUUUGUAAGGUGAAUAUGAAGAAUCCAGCAACAGAGUUGGUGCUCUCUCAGUUCACAACUGCUUAAUGAAGAAGCAAGAUUAUAGAGCACCAAAUCAUCUACUUACACCUCACGCCCGUAUCCAAAAGAGACAGAUCACUACCCCGAUCUUUAGACGAGUCAAACAUGCCUCGAGUCCCACAUGGCGUGCCAAAAUGUUUGACUCAUCAAAAUAUGGGGUGGUAAUUUGUCUCUUUUACCCAAGAGUUGACAAGUAAAACAUUUAGUGGGACUCUAGGCCUCUUUGCUCGUCCAAAUAUUGAGGUAGUAAUCUGCCUUGUUUGGAUAUGGGCAUGUGUGAGGCGCAAGCGGAUGAUUUGGCGUGCUGCAAAUAUUGCUCCUUCGUUAAGCGGUUAUGAAUGGAGAGAGCACCAACCCUGUUGCUGGAUUCUUCAAAUUCGCCUUAAGGACUUAUGGUGUGAUCUCUAGUCGUCACAAUAUUGAUACUCAAUCAAAGCUCAGCAGAGCAACAAACGGAAGGUUUCAAAAAACAUUAGGUUUUACUAAAGCGUAAUCUUUAGCGUUGAGUUCUCAAGAAUAUGUUGUGGUAAGUUAGCCGCACCCUUCUUUUCUCUUUAGGGUUUCUUCUCCUAGGGUUGUCUAACUGCCUUGCUGCUUCGCAUCCAAACCUCUCGAUCUAUAAUGUCCGACAAGGUUUCUUAACGUUUCACGUCGGCUCUGGCCAUCCAUGACGGUGAUUCUCCACAUUCAGUGCCAUGAGAUCUUCAUCGGCGCCGCAACAGUUCUUUGUUGUUGGUAGGCUUCUCACCUUGAAGAGUAAAAUCCCAUAUCUGAAAGCCGUCAUUGGUACUCUCACAUCAGUUUGGGAUCUCCAUAAUCGUCUCCAGAUGAGAGCAAGGGCGGACCGCUUCAUACUUCGUUUCACCAGAGCCGAUGACCGAAAAAAUAUCCUAACUGACGGUCCUUGGUUCUAUGGACGAUCUUUGUUCAUUCUUGCUGAGUAUGUUGGGUUGGAAGAUAUGGCUUCUGUUCCGAAUGAUUCGUUCCCUGUCUGGGUCGAAGUCAGAGGCCUUCCAGAUGUGCUUAUGACUGAUGAAGCGGUUGAGAGCAGGUUGAACAUGUUGACCAGAUGAACAUCAGAAGGGGAACCUAGGCUUGGGUCCAGAUUUUGCAGAAACUGAGUGUACCGAUCAAGGAGGCAUUUGGUGAGAUGCCAUUCGAAUUCGGGUCGAGAAGGUUCCCGGUGAAGUUGAACGUGAAGUAUGACUGGACGGUGGGUUUUUGUAAGGUUUGUUGUCUCUUGGUGCACCCAAAAACUGAUGGGUCAAAUUUCCCUCCUUAUUUGGAGGAGGAUGUCAUAUGGUUUACUACAUGUGAAACACCUUUUUUGGUGAAGCCUCAAGACCCAUCAAUUAACCAAGAGGCAAGAUGGUAUAUGAAUAGCAAAGUUGGUAGUGUGUACAUGUUGAAAUGCAAGAGAGAGAGCCUAUAUGUAUAGGCUUGUUGGUGGCUGAAAAGUUUGACAAAAGGAUAGAGAUGCAUUGAUGGUGCAUACAAACAUUGAAGCUUGAAUUAAGGAAGAAGUUUGAAUUCUCUUCCUUGUGCAUGGACGUGAAGGAUUUGCAUGGGAAGUGCAUGAAGAAUGCAUGCAUAUAUUUGCCUAUAUAUAGAGGCAUUUGCAAUGGUGCAAAAGAUAUAGAAGAACCGGUGAGUUCACCUUGUGCUAUACAAGAGUGUGAGAUAGAGAGAAAACUCCAAGUUGAGAGUUUGUGUGUGUAACAAAACAAAGUGUGUGUGAGAGUGUAUCCCUUCAAGAGUGAGUCUUGAAGUAGUGUUUCUCUCCGUGUAACCUUUAUUCAAAUAGUGGAGGUUCUUUGUUGUUGUUGCCCCGUGGAUGUAGGCACUUUACCGAACCACGUUAAUACCCGGUGUUCUUUAUCAUUUUCUUUCCGUUACAUUUUACAUUUGUGGUUGUGAGUUCUGAUUCCAUUCUACAGUUUAUUCUCCGCAUAACCCAACAAAAACAGGGUGUGCAAGUAAACCUGACCUGCUUCCUCAGUUUAUUGACAUUGAAUCGAUGAAGACUCCUUUUGGAUUUGGGGGAGCAACUAGGGUUUUUGGAAACCCUAACCCUAAACUAAAAGAGCAACCUAGGCUCUUUGCACAGCAAACAGAUUUGCAAGUGGACAGAUUGGAAGGUGUGCUCUCAACUUCAUCCAUGUUUGUGGCUAACCCUUUUGCAGGUCCUAGCAUGAUGCCGAAAUUUGCAUUCUCUAUUCUAGAAAUAUCGGCAGCAGAUUUGGCUUUGAAGUUGGAUAGGCUGUAGACUCCACCUGUGGUACAGUCGGCUUUGAUUGCAGCUCCGGUGGUUAUUGUGGAGAAUCCUUGGGUAUCUACCCCUAUCCCUCUUUUUGGUGUUAAGAAAGGUCCGGAACUAGGCUUAGUUCCUAUGGGGAAACGAGGUAGAGGAGAUGAGGACUCAUAAUCUAUGGUUUUGGUGCCGUAUGUGUUGGAUUUCUCACCGAAGAUGGCUCUAUCUCACUCUGGUGGUGUGAUUGUGGUCUCCUCGGCAAAGAAAAGGAAGCUAGGUCGUCCAAAGGGAUCUUUGAACAAGAAACAUGCUGUUGUUGUUGAUCAGACUACGCUGGGGCUGAAAAGAGCUAAAUAAUGCUCUUUUGGAGCUCAGAAAAAUCUAAAGAAGGAGUUGGAUAAAGUACAGGUUCAUGUGGUAAGUAAUGAGGAUUAUUUCGAAGAAAAGGGAGAGACAGUAGCUGCGGAUUUGGAGCCGGGGUCUGGUGUUUUUGCGGGUGGAAGCUCUUCUGGAGGUAGCUCUUCUGGGGUCUCCUCUUCGGGGUAGUUGAAUUUCGUGGUCUUCUGAAUAAGUUAGUUAUCAAAAUAAAGGAGUUUUUUUCUAGAACUUUGUUAGGUUUGUUUCUGUUUUGUUUUUUAUGGUUUUCUUGGUUCUCUGGUUCUGAUUACUUUAUCUGAGGUGUAAUGCUUAUGCUGAGGUGCAAUGCUUAUGGUUUGCAGCAUAGGAAUAACCUAGGGUAGCUUCAGUCUUCUUAGGUAGCUUCGCAUGAUUUUUUUUAAUGCUUGCCCGCGAGGGUGUGUCAUAUUCAUGUUGUAAUCCGAAUUUCAAUGACUAACAUCCAUUUAUCUGAAAAACAAUAUGUUGUGGUUCUGCUUCAAUGAAGACUUUGUAGGUAUUUUUUUUGUAGUUGUUGAGAGAGAAAAAGAUCCUCCAACUCUCCUGUUUACAGUGGCGGAUUCUCCAACUCCAUAUCAAUACUCAACCGAAGGCAUAUAUCGAACAACAUAUAUAACAAGUCAAAUGGUUGGAGUGCUUGUAUGUACAAACAACAACAACAACAACAAAAACAAAAGCAAAUAAAAAACAACAACAACAAAAACCAAAGCAAAAAAACUAAACCAUUGCUUUGACAAGCCAGUAAGAUCACUUGUGUAAAAAUUAAAAUCCAUUCAUACACGAUUGGUGUAUACAUUCGUAUACAUGUACCACUCUGGGAAAGAAAUUGUUGUUCGAUAACCCUGCAAGGUGGAGAAUCUUAUAACAAGCUUCAUAAAAGACGAUCAAAAGAUUUGGAAAGCAUAUAUAUAGUAGGAUGAGCGUUGGAAAGCAUCCUGUAUCCAGUAAGUCGAAUAAGCCAAGCAAAAUGCUGAGCAUUACAACAAUUUUUCAAAAUGCAAUCUCUCUUAAAAUAUGCUCCCAGGCUCAACUUAUCUGACUAUCUAGAGUUCACCAUCCCAAAGCUCUUCAAGACUUCUAUAGGGUCCAAAGGUGUCAUGAACAAAUGAGGUCCCUCUCAGCAGCCUUGCCUGCAUAAUUGGAGAUCACAUAAUUGUUAGAAUAAAGACUACCUGAUAAUCAUCAAUUUAUCAGUGGCGAUAUCAUCAUCAUGAUAAUGAUUACAGGACCUAUUCCCAAACCAACCAGAAGAUCCAGAGAAGAGGAGUGUUGGAGUGGUGUCUAAAGCUUUAGCAGCUUUCACAUUAUAUGAUAAGGGUGGAAUGUGUGACGUAGGUAACAAUAAUACGAUAUUAGUGAGGGUAUUGAUACUAGGAGAACAAGAACCAAUCCCAUUAACUAGAUACCUGCUCAAUUUCAGAAAACUUGGCAAACAAUUCUUCUGGGAUAGACCAGCAGAAGACAUCAAGAUUCUCCUUGAUCCUUGCUUCGUUAGUACUCUUUGGAAGAACACUGUGACCCAUUUGCAGUCCCCAUCGAAGAGCAACUUGAGCAGGAGUUUUUCCUAGCUUCUCUGCGACGCUGAGAAGAAUCGGAUUCUUAAGGACAUCGCUUUUGAUCCAUGUCGUGCCAGGAGAACCCAGUGGUGAAUAUCCCUGAAAGAAGAACAACUAGCUCCCUUGUUAUAUUGCAAAAUUUUGCCCAAGACAUAAGACACCACCACUCAGCAUUUGCAUACUUACAGAAAGGUGAACCCCCUUGGAUUUGCAGAAGGAUCGUAGCUUGCCUUGCUGCCAUGAAAGAUGACACUCUACUUGGUCAACAGCAGGAGGAACACGUGCCACAUCCAACAAAUCUGACAGCUUCUUUGUAGAGAAAUUGCUCACACCAAUAGCUCGAGCCUUGCACGAAUCAUAGAGAGUUUCCAUUGCUCUCCAAGUACCUGGGAUAUCUGGUUCAACAAGGUUUUCAGGCUUAAAACCUACUGAACCCUUCUUCAUCCGCACUGGCCAGUGGAUCUUCACAUUUUCAGUGUGGUCAUUAGUACAGCCGAACAAUUACGACAAAAUGGAAUAACAAAUUCAAGAUGAUGAGGCAAAUUAUCUAUGAUUUUCGACUUCUAGCUAGACAGCAUUACUAUAAAUGGAUGAAUGACUUUGGAUGUAAAUUUAUAUUCAACAACCACAUUAAGGUGUAUUGACAUAUCUUUUGGAAAAUGCAGAUUAAACCCUGAACUAAGCAUGACUUAUCCAUGUUAAAGCCCUGUGAGUGAUCUGAUCAACCAUGUGCAGACCGUCCUGAACCAAAUUCAAAGACACCUAACAUGGGAAUAAGUUUUGAAUUCUUAAUACAUACCAAGAACAAGUCAAUAUAUUCAAGCUGCAGGUCUCUCAAAGUCCUAUCCAAUGCCUCUAGUACAUCUUCCGGUGCAUGAUCCGUACACCUGCAGACCAUCUUGCUCGUAAGUAUAUAUAUACAAUUACAACCCGUAGGAGGGCUUAGGAUUUAGAUCAUGAAUAAUAACUACCACUUGGUCAAUAUUUCAAUUAAUUAUCAUGAAACUUAUAACGAACCAGAGCUUGGAGGUAAUCCACAAUUCCUCGCGCUUCACCACACCAUCUUCAAACAGCUUCCUCAAAACCAAACCAAUCUACAAGAAACACAAAAUUUUAACCACCAAACCGUCUUCAAAGAAUGAAGCAAAUCACAGGUAAUUUAAACUCCCAACUCAAAAUAAAAACACAAAACAUAGAAACCGGUAUCGGAAUAAGGCAGUCAAUUAGCUUAGAACAUGCUACACAUAUGAGCCAACUGAAGUAAUUUCAGAAAUACAUGAAGAAGAAGUGACAAUAACAGAUCAAAUGAUAGUAAAUGUUUAGAUCUGAACAAAAGCAACUAGAGUUACCUCUUUCUCAUUGCCAUAGACUUGAGCACAAUCAAUAUGCCUAUAUCCUGCCUGCAGUCAGAAACAUCACCACUUCACUAAAGUGCUAAGAUUUACAGAACCAAACAGCAGAAGCGACAAGAAAGGCUUGAUCUUUGUUGUAGUUAAGUAAAAGCAUGUAAACUAAGUGAAGUUGAGUUAAGAGGGAAAGAGGAAGAAGACCUUGAUGGCGGUGGCGACGGCUUCACCGACCAAGCCGGGGCUGGACUGCCAGGUCCCUAAGCCCAAAGACGGCAUCUUGGCUCCGGUGUUCAACUCAAAGAAGCGAAUGUCGUUCGCCAUUUUCAAGUUUCAGAGAGCUGGAAGGAGAAGGAAGUCUGAGAGAGUGAUCAAGUUGGAGUUGAAUUUAGAGAGGAGAGUAAAACGUGGUCAGGGGAAAUGUUCUAGGACAGUGUAGGCGCGAUUAUUGAAGACAAAGUGACAGUUCUGAGUGGCUAACAGGGUGACACCUGUAGCCUAACAGUUGCUUUUUCACCGAAAUUGGAAAAAAGGAACCCGGAUCCUCGUUCUCAUAUUUCCUCGUGAGAGGAUCUCAGCCUUUUAUUUUGAACCAAUGGCUGAGAUUUUCCUAGUUAAUUUUAACCCCUUAUUACCCAACUUACUCGCUUACUCUUCCUCUUCUCCUCAAAAUAUCGGGUUGCUCUCUCUCUCUCUCUGCCGUCGUCGCCCCACAACACUCUCUAAGCUCCCACUAAUCAAACUGUCAUAAAUACUAGACCAUUUCGGAUAAUUAAGCUUAAGAACAACACUAGGCUCGAAGUUACAUGCAUUAUACAUGGACCUACUCUUCCCCAUCAUACACAGCUUCUUAUCCAAUUCCGAAUAAUACCCAUCAAGCCUGAAUCUCACCACACCCCGCGUGACCGGAAUCCUCGAUCCCCGAAAGUUCACCAGCGUCGCCGGCAGAGGGAGGCUCGCGAGCGACGACGGAAGAGAGAGGGAGAUCACGAGCGACGACGGCGGAGGGAGGCCGAGCUCGCGACGGCGGAUUCGAGAGAGAGGGCGGGUGCGGGGCGACGACGGCAGAGAGAGAGAGAGCAGCCCGAUAUUUUGAGGAGAAGAGGGAGAGUAAGCGAGUAAGUUGGGUAAUAUGGGGUUAAAAUUAACUAGGAAGAUCUCAGCCAUUGAUUCAAAAUAAAAGGCUGAGAUCCUCUCAUGAGGAAAUAUGAGGACCAACUCAUGAGGAGAGGAUCCGGGUUCAGAAAAAAGAGGGAGAAGGAGGAGGAAUCAAAUUUGCCUUUUUGUUCUUGCCAUGACUAUCCAAUCAAAACCUGCCAAAAAAAGAGAGUUGACCAUAGUUAUAUUAUCACCCAUGGCAAUUUUUGAUUAGAUGGUCACAGUAUGAUUAAAAAUUUGCUAGUUGACAAAUUUAAUUUCGAAGAAAGAAGAAUAUAUUUUGUUGUCGGAAUCAAAGUUUAAAUGGAUAUUUCAAUCAUGGACUUAUCCUAUUAGAUUUAAGUCAUUUAACUGAUGUCUGAUGCUGUGGUAAAAUAUGGUGGAACUAUAAAAUCAUAAUUAAAAAAUUGAUCAAACUGCUUAGUAUGGAGCUUUGUCAAGAGUUCGAAAUUUUGAAUCCCAACUAAUGAGAGUUUGUGAUCAGCAGGUAUUAAGAGACUCCGGAUUCAUGCGCUUGCGGUAGGAGAUAUGUUUUGACUUUGCUGGAAUACUCAUGUGGAUCUCAGUCCGAUUGUUGACUGAGUUGGUGUGUUACUAACUUGCUAAUGUAUACCUUACUCCUAAUAAAAAGAAAUAUGCUUAGAUGUUAAUAAAAAAGAAUAGCUUUUAUUUGUACGAUAGUCUGACACAUUCCUUUUAUAAAUAGGUUUGGUUUAAAUCUGUGACUUCCAGCUACUCGGCAUCUACGCUCCGAUUUACAGUGGUCAGUUCCCAUAACUAUGCAAAGUGUAGAUAUGAGAAAAAGGUCCAGAUUAAGGGGAUUGAACAAGCAAUUCUUCCACAAUCACAAUACCAACGGGUUAAUAUUCAAGAUAUACUACUGAUGCCGAUUUCAGAGGUUACAGAUAAGUAGUUUUAUGAAUUAGGUAUCAACCAUUAACACCAGUCGUAUCUGUAUAAUGUACUCGAGCAUGCACUUGAGAGUCAAGAGUUUUGGAGGCAAAUUGUUUCUGAGAAAAGGUGGUUAGUUCCCAUAACUAUGCAAAGUGUAGAUAUGACAAAAGGUCCAGAUUAAGGAGAUUGAACGAGCAAUUCUUCCACAAUGAUGUAUAAUUGAAUAACACUUCAUCUGCAUCAUGAUGUAGAUCCCACUGUUAUAUUUGUUGUAUGUGGUUGGGUUACCUUCUGCAAAUGAGAGGCGAAAGGAGGGAAAAUUGUAAUAAACAUUGGAGGACUUUGACAUUGCACUUGCAAACACCGUCUGUAGCAGAAGCAUCUAAAUCCAACAAAAUAUAUAAAAAGUUAGCACAUAACGCAACCGAAAUCCGACAAUUACUAACAAAGGCCUUACGGUGGCUCUUGCUAUCUCAAUUCGUCUAUUCAAUGAUGUCAAUUCCGGCACAAAAUCCCACAACUUGGCAAUUUUCUCCUUUAGUUUCAUAACCAACAAAAAUAUAUGGUUUGUGAUUUCAUCAUGCAACGGGAUGAAAAUCUGCAAAAGCACAAGAAAUUAUACACAUGACAAGCAACGUAAUAUCAAUGUGAUGAAUUAACCCUUAAUUACCUAAACACAAUGCUUUAAUCGCCUAUGGAACCUCUGCAACCGACAAUGAACAAUUGUUGAUGCCACUGAAACAGGGACAACAGAUGGAUUCUCAUUUAACUUGGCUUGUUCCUAUUCAUGAAGACAGUAACAUAGCAUUCAUUAUUAUCAUUGUUUGUAUUUAGGUACAAUAGCAGAGUUAUUAUUCCUAAUGUGAUUUCUUUAUACCCCAAAGAAAGUAGGCAAGAACCAUGAGUCGGAGUUGGUUUGACACAAGUACGCCGCCCAAAUGUUUAUGGCCUGAAUCAUUUUCAGUCAUCUCACAUAGUUAAGAUUACGACCAUAUAAUGUAUGUGCAAUACUAGCUUAGAAGAAAUUGGCACGGAUAAUUCAUUACCUUUGAAGAAAUUGAGACGCUCGGGCAAAGACAUUGGAUAUCCUCAAGGGACACCCCAAAAUCCCCACCGCGGGCAACUUCUUCCCUGUAUUAAUCAAAUGCACUGGUCAAAAACAAUAAUGCUCUUCUGCGGUCACAAUAUCAACCAAAACUCAAAUAAAUUAUUGAAAACAGAAGCACAGAAGCUUCAUAUAGCAUUGAAUGACCAACUGAAAAUCCUUAAUUCAGGUCACAAAACUUAUAAUGUCUUUACUGACCUGGACUCAUGUCCUCCUUUCCUUGGCUUCCCAAAUAAGAACUUUAAGACCUUAGAAUCCUUCCAAAUAAGAACUAAGCAUCAGUCUAAAUACAUAGACGUAGUAGCAUCAAAAAGUCUUCUAACCCAGUAAAACCCAGACUCUCGAAUUGAAAAAAAAUCUUCCAGUUCAACUCCCACAAACCAAUUCAACCCAACAUUCAAAUAAUAGUAAUUAUCAGGGAGAGAAGAAUAACUUAAUCUUACAACUGAAGAGAGAGAGAGAGAGAGAGAGAGAGAGAGAGAGAGAGAGAGAGAGAGAGAGUAGACGAGACNNNNNNNNNNNNNNNNNNNNAAAAUCUGAAAAUUUGAAUGUCAAGUUAACUCUAAAAAUCUAGAUUACACAGAGUGAAACUGAAAGAGUACUCCCCACGAAAACAAGUAUAAUAUUUACCUUUCUUACCUCUCUCUCUUUUUGUGGAGGAAUCUCUGAGUGGGUUUUGCAGAAACAAGGCAGUGCUCCCGCUCAACCUGACCCUUGCAAUUGAAAAUAGGGGAACGAAUGGUGGGUUCGUUCUCUUGAAGCUUGGAAUUUGAGCAAAUGACUGCAAUUCUCGAUCGGGAGUCAGGAAAGAUUCGUACCCUGAUUUGUAGUCGGUGUAGAUUUAACGGUAAUUCGGAUACCGCGUGGGUUUUUGAGGUUUGAAUCGGAGAUUUCGAAUCUCUUCGUCGGAGCCGCCGUCGUGGGAUUAGGCCGGAGAGCAAGAAAGGUUUGGAUUUUCUUUUUAGGUUUGGGUCGACUGCCUACAUCCCACAGUGAUAUAAGGUAAUUUUGUUUUUACUGCUGUUUCUUCAUCUGACUAACUAACCGAUACGCUCCGUCUUACUAAGUCUGUUAACAGACGUUAGACCCACAUUAAAGGUUCAAGUGCCCCAUGGUGCACUGAAUCCGCUCCGCAUGAAAGAUUAGAUUAGUUUUGCUACGAUACUCUCGCGGACGUCGGUUUGCAUACCAAAUAGGUGGGUGUGUUACUAAUUUACUAACCUGAUUCGAAUAACGUAAAUAAAGGUGACUUGCUAUCUCACUACCAAUCCAGAAAAAAAAAUACAUAAAAUUCGCAAUCAACCGACAACCGGUAAAUUCAGGUGGUGUAAUUUCUUUGAAAUUAAUAAUAAUAAUCCAGUAUCGUAAUGGUAAAAGUGUAAAACCAACUCCCAGCUAGGCUGGGUUCCAAAAAGAAAUGGUAAAACCAAAUCAGUAUGAAGUUCAUUUGUGAAGGUCCUAGGGGGGGGGUGGGGGGGGGGGGUGAAUAGGUCUUUAUUACUUUUUCGUCCGAUUCCGUUCACAAGGAUAGCAAACAUUUAGCUAUCCUGAUAACAUGGAGACGUAGUAAUAAAUAAAAGAACAAGUACUGGAAAGUAAAAGAAAUAACACCAGUACGUUUUUUAUUCGCAGAAACCUUGCACCAGGGAGAAAAACUGCGUGCCCCUAACUCUUGAGGGACAAACCUUUCCACUAUGUAAAACUCACUUCUUACAAGAUUAUAGUCUAGGGAUACAACGACGAUUUGCAAUCCUGCCUAGUCUACCCACUAGUCUAGAUCUAUCUCUCCUGUCUCUGAGUGACUCACCUCACUCCUCACAAGAUUAUNNNNNNNNNNNNNNNNNNNNUGGGUUGGAAGAACAACACAACCCUAGACUAACUUGGAGCUCAAGCACGAUGAAAAAUGUUUUGCUAAAAGAGAUUUGAAAUUCAAAUACUGAAAAGCUGAAGCAAAACCAUUUAAAUCUGCACGAAGUCAGACUCAGAGAUUAUGAUAGAUACAACAGGGGUAUCCACCAAAUCUGGAUAGCAAGCAGAGCUGCCAUCCUGAAUGAAUGUGAUGCACAUGCAUGAACUACCUGAUGUACAUGAGAUAAAAACAAAUAGCCAGCUAAUAUAUUAGUUUGUGUAUCACAAACCUAGCUAGAGCCUCUAAGCUCUAGUCAUGUGGUCACGGGUUGAAAACACUACACAACCCUAGACUGACUUGAAGCACCAAGGCAACGACAAAUGUUUUGCUAAAGGGGAUUUGAAUUCAAACAGUGGAAUUCAAACGAAUGAUACACAAAUAGCAAAAGCAUUUAGACAUGCAUACAUAUAGACCCAAUAGAUUAGGACAGAUACACCAAGAGGUAUCAUCCGAUCUAGGAUGACAAGCAAAGCUGCCAUUCUCAGUGAAAAACAUAAGAUGCAUAUGCAUGAACUACCUGAUACACAUGAGAUCUUGACAGGUCUUCAUUCUUCACUUAUGAUAUCCUUACCAUCAGGAUAUGUAGAAUUCUCAGUGAAAAGCAUCAGAUGCAUAUACACCAGUUACCUAGGACACAUGUGAUCUUGUCAAGUCUUCAUUCUUCACUUGUGAUAUCCUUACCAUCAGGAUAUAUAAAAUAGCUUGUGUCUUGUGUUUUGAUCAUAAAAGGGAUAGCCAACAAUCCUUAUACCAACAAUUUGUCUAAUGCCGAUACGAAUAAUGUUGUUCUAUGAAUCUGCAAGGUGAGAAUCUUAUUUCAAGUUUCUUUCAAACCAAACAUGGAAAGAAACUUUAGUUCAGGGUGAACCGAAAAGGUUUCGCCCUAGAAGGCUCAAAAAGUAUGAGCGUUGCUUUGCAUUAUGUAUUCGGUUAGGCCAACAAGCCGACCAAAACGCUUCGUAAUAGUCGUUUUAGCCAAGUCGCCAUCAAGACGAGCAAAGCACUGACUUAAUCUAGAUUUCACCAUCCCAGAGUUCCUCAACAGUUCUAUAGGACCCAAAAGUGUCAUGUACAAAAAAGUCACCUUUGACUAGCCUUUCCUGCAAAUUUGGAAAACAAUGUAGUAUCAGUGACCAUCAUCACCAUCUUGAUCAAAUUACAGAACCUAAUAGGACUCCAGAAGCAACCAUGUCAUAUUAAUGAUGGGCUAUGUUUAAUAGUUAUGCCAUAACUGACNNNNNNNNNNNNNNNNNNNNUAGGCUACUUAUCUAUCAUUUUGACCUCAUCCUUUACAACUGAGACAGUCAGACUGAAGGGUAAUAUGAACAUCGUAUUUGUGGUUUAAAGAUGGCACAAACUAUUUUAAGAAAUGUAGUUUGAACACUAAAAGUAGGCAUAUUGCACAUUUCUACAAAGAAUCCCAACUGAUAAAU